UGUAUGUAUGUAUAUAUUGCGUAUAUAUAUUUAUAUAAGAAUAUAAGCCUUUCAAUUUAGUAUGUACAUAUAUAUAUAUAUUAUACACUUAAUGUAUAUGUACAUUAAAAUAAUUUAAUUUAUAAAUGCAUAUGUACAUACAUAAAUAUAUAUAUAUAUGUAUAUAUAUGUAUGUAUAAUUAUGAAAUAUAAGGCUUCAUAUAAUGUUAAUAUAUAAAUAUCAAUUAUAAGUAUAUAACUAGAAAAAAUUUAUAUAGGUAUACAGUACGUAUAGGCAUGGAUACAUACACGUACAUAAAUUCUGAGCAGUACUUAAAUGUUAUUAUAAAAAUUUUAUAUUAGUACAUACAUAAUUUUUUUUUUAAUAAAUAUGAAAAUUAUAUUCAAUAUUUGUGUUUAAUAUUACCUAGCUAUCUAUAUAAAUACAUACGUGCACAUAAUAUUAUUUUAAAUAACCAAAAUUUAUACUUUAUGUACAAAUCAAUAUGUACUUAUAUACGUAACCGUAUGUAACCGUAUAUUAUAAUUGUAUGCAUCAAUCUGAUGUAAAUAUAUAUUACGUUCAUACAUACAUACAUAAUUAAAAACUAUAUAGUGUCCCAUUCGAAAAUGUACCAAAUAAAGCCUUAUAUACCAAAUAAAAAAAAAAAUAAUUAUAAUAAAUAACAGCAAUAACAAUAAUAAGAACAAAAAAAAAAACAAAAAUACAAGAAAAAUUCUACAGUCAUUUUUGCCUGUUUUCCUUUUAUUUUUUUUAUUUUUUUUUAUUUUUAUUAAAGAUAUGUGAAAUUCGAAAAUAAAAUUGCCUUUAUUAGAAUUUUGUCGGCCGUGCGAAACGUUUGUGCACUCCAUUGAAAAAUAAGCAACAAUAAUAAUCAGAAAUAAUAUAAAAAAAAAAUUAAAAAAAAAAAAAACUUAAAAGAAUCAUCAAAAAUUUUAAAACUUUCUUUUUUGAUUCAUUUAUAAAAUUUAUUCAAGUAAAUGCGACUUAAUAAAUUCAAAUACUUUUUAUUAUGGUAUACUAUUUUAAAAUACAAAAAAUAAAAUAAACAGUGUACAGAGUGUUUAAAGUUAAAUAUAUUAUGAUGGUGCGGUUUAUAUAUAUGUAUGUACAUAUUUAACAUUGAAAUAUUUUGCCAAUUCAAUUAUUGAAGAAAUUAAAGGAAUGAAAUAUUACUAACAUCAACUGAAAAUGAAUACUAACAAAAAAUCAUAGAAAUUGUUAAAAAAACAUUAACUAAGAAUAUUGAGGAAAUUGAGUUAAAACAUUUUCAAGCAAUGUUUAAAAUAACAUAAAUAUAGUGAACAUAACAACAACAAUAAAAUAAAUAUAAAUAAACACUAUGAUUAUUGAAACAUAUGGGAAAACAUGGAAAUCUUAUUACAAGCAGAUUUCAUAAAAGCUGUAAUACUAACAAAAAAAAAAUUGAAUAACAAGGAAGCAAAAACUUGUAAAUCACCAUAAAAUUCAAGUUUAAAACUGCUCCCUGAUUCAAGGAAAAAUGCUCUAAGGUGAUUUGGAUUUUGGAAUUCGAAUAUAAGCAACGCAUUGUGCUAUAGAGCAAAUUUACAUCACAUAAUACGUACUUAAAUGCACAAAAACAAUGUUUAUAAUAAAAUAUAUGUAUAUAUAUAUGUACUGCACAUUUGCCUAAUAUACCAGAAUACCGAAAAUUAAGAUUGUAUAAUAUUUAACUAGAAAUUUAACGUAAAGUCUAAAGGUUUCUAUACAUACAAACAUACAUAUAACGUACAGUUGCGUCUUCAUCUUGUCAAAGUUAUUUAUUAUAACGUCUAAGCUAAAAAUACGAUUGCAUAAUGCAAUAUCAAAAACACCCAAUCUUUUAUUUAAAUUUAUUUUGAUACUUUGUAUCAAAGGCUUCAUAAACAAUAUUUUGACAAAUCAAAAAAAACGUUCUUACAUACGUACUUACAUACAUGCAUGUGUAUAAUAAAAUAAAACAACUUCUAACUUCAUAAUAUACACUUAUGAAAAUUGUAAGUACUACAUACAUACAUACGUACGUGCAUAUUGUGUACAUAUGAGUACUUGUAUUUGCAUUUAUUACGAGAAGAAGAAUUAUAAUGGAACCAGUAGUAAGCAACACUAUCGUCGUCAUUGCCGUCGUAAUAAAAAUGAACAUAAUAAUGACAUUUAUUCUAUGCUGAAGUUGACCAAAAUAUUUCCAAUUUACUAUUUUAACUGUGUUGCCGCUGUAUUUCAAUCUGGAAGGAAUCACUUAACGGGUAAAUAUUUACACUUUUUAAAAAUACAAUUUACGUUUUACAAUUUACGUGCUGAAAUAAUAAAUCUAGAAAGGCUAGGAAAAUUCAAUUAGUGAAUUUUAAAAAUUUGAUUUAACAAAAAAAAAAAAUAAAUAUGAUAUAAGAUGCUUUUGAGUGAAUUUUUUGCAAUACUUCGUAAAGAGUACUUUUAUAAAAUACAGGAAUUUCUUCAAAAAAAGGAAACCUUUUUUGUUUGGAAUUGCUUUAACUAUUAUCAAUUUACAAAUAUUUUCAAUUAAUUAUUUCGAUAUUGAAAAGUUUAGUUGGACAUUCUCUUUUAUUUAGGUAAGACAAAAUAGUAAAAUAAAAUAUGAUUAAUCAAAAUUUUUAAUACUAUAUAUAGCUAUAAGUAUUAAUUUAAAUUAUAAAAUUAAAAUUCUUUAAUUUUAUAUUAUAGUUAAAGUUUUUAAGUUUACAACAAAAAAUAUCAACCCAUCAAAAAAGCCAAAAAUGUAUUUGAGACCGGGAUCCACUCUGUGCUCGCUCAGUUUAUUAUUUUUAAAAUCAGUGAACACAGCUGGUGGUAUCUCAGUUUCAUUUAUGUUAAUAACAACAUUCAGUAAAUUUUAAGAAAAAAAAAUCUUCAAUGAACGUUUUAUAUUGCCUAGCAUUUGAAAUAUAACAGUUAAAAUAUUGUAUAAGAUGUGAUAUAUGUUGUGUUCUAUCG